rnacentral:rRNA from 1 species
CCUACGGGAGGCAGCAGUGAGGAAUAUUGGUCAAUGGACGGAAGUCUGAACCAGCCAUGCCGCGUGCAGGAAGACGGCUCUAUGAGUUGUAAACUUCUUUUGUACAAGGGUAAACCUGAAUACGUGUAUUCAGCUGAAAGUACUUUACGAAUAAGGAUCGGCUAACUCCGUGCCAGCAGCCGCGGUAAUACGGAGGAUCCAAGCGUUAUCCGGAUUUAUUGGGUUUAAAGGGUGCGUAGGCGGAUUGAUAAGUUAGAGGUGAAAUGUCCGAGCUUAACUCGGGAACUGCCUCUAAUACUGUUGGUCUAGAGAGUAGAUGCGGUAGGCGGAAUGUAUGGUGUAGCGGUGAAAUGCUUAGAGAUCAUACAGAACACCGAUUGCGAAGGCAGCUUACCAAUCUAUAUCUGACGUUGAGGCACGAAAGCGUGGGGAGCAAACAGGAUUAGAUACCCCUGUAGUC